rnacentral:rRNA from 1 species
AACGAACGCUGGCGGCAUGCCUAACACAUGCAAGUCGAACGAGACCUUCGGGUCUAGUGGCGCACGGGUGCGUAACGCGUGGGAACCUGCCCUUAGGUUCGGAAUAACUCCCCGAAAGGGGUGCUAAUACCGGAUAAUGUCUUCGGACCAAAGAUUAUUGGCCUUUGGGGGGGCCUGCUUUGGAUUAGUUAGUCGGUAGGGUAAAGGCCUACCAAGGCGACGAUCACUAGUUGGUAUGAGAGGAUGUUCAGCCACACUGGGACUGAGACACGGCCCAGACUCCUACGGGAGGCAGCAGUGGGGAAUAGUGGACAAUGGGCGAAAGCCUGAUCCAGCAAUGCCGCGUGAGUGAUGAAGGCCUUAGGGUUGUAAAGCUCUUUUACCCGGGAUGAUAAUGACAGUACCGGGAGAAUAAGCUCCGGCUAACUCCGUG